rnacentral:rRNA from 1 species
CCCCUAGAUGUUCUGGGCCGCACGCGCGCUACACUGAACAGUUCAACAAGUCUUAACCUUGGCCGAUAGGUCUGGGUAAUCUUUGAACGCUGUUCGUGAUUGGGAUAGACCUUUGCAAUUAUGGGUCUUCAACGAGGAAUUCCUAGUAAACGCAAGUCAUUAGCUUGCAUUGAUUACGUCCCUGCCCUUUGUACACACCGCCCGUCGCACCUACCGAUUGAAUGGUCCGGUGAAAUCUCGGGACGGCGGCUUGGUCGCUUGCGUCCGACUGCUGAAACUUGAUUAAACCAUAUCAUUUAGAGGAAGGUGAAGUCGUAACA